AGUGAACGCUGGCGGUAGGCCUAACACAUGCAAGUCGAACGGCAGCACAGUAAGAGCUUGCUCUUACGGGUGGCGAGUGGCGGACGGGUGAGGAAUACACCGGAAUCUACUUUUGCGUGGGGGAUGACGUAUGGGAACUUACUCUAAUACCGCAUACUACCUACGGGUGAAAGCAGGGGAUCUUCGGACCUUGCGCGAUUGAAUGAGCCGAUGUCGGAUUAGCUAGUUGGCGGGGUAAAGGCCCACCAAGGCGACGAUCCGUAGCUGGUCUGAGAGGAUGAAGAGGCACACUGGAAGUGAGACACGGUACAGACUCCUACGGGAGGCAGAGAUGGGGAAUAUUGGAAAAUGGGCGCAAGCCUGAUCCAGCCAUACCGCGUGGGUGCAGAAGGCCUUCGGGUUGUAAAGCCGUCUUGUUGGGAAAGAAAAGCAGCAGGUUAAUCCACCGCUGUUCUGACGGUACCCAAAGAAUAAGCACCGGCUAACUUCGUG
rnacentral:rRNA from 1 species